GACGAACGCUGGCGGCGUGCCUAAUACAUGCAAGUCGAACGCAGUGGGAAGGGGUGAGUAAAACGUGGGUAACCUCCCAUCAGAGGGGAUAACACUUGGAAACAGGUGCUAAACCGAUAUUGAAUGAUGGAGCCGCGGUGCAUGAGGCAGUUGGUGAGGUAACGGCUCACCAAGGCCACGAUGCAUAGCCGGCCUGAGAGGGUGAUCGGCCACACUGGGACUGAGACACGGCCCAGACUCCUACGGGAGGCAGCAGUAGGGAAUCUUCGGCAAUGGACGAAAGUCUGACCGAGCAACUCCGCGUGAGUGAAGAAGGUUUUCGGAUCGUAAAACUCUGUUGUUAGAGAAGCGGUAUCUAACCAGAAAGCCCCGGCUAACUACGUGCCAGCAGCCGCGGUAAUAC
rnacentral:rRNA from 1 species